GCUCAGAUUGAACGCUGGCGGCAUGCUUUACACAUGCAAGUCGAACGGUAACAGGUCUUCGGAUGCUGACGAGUGGCGAACGGGUGAGUAAUACAUCGGAACGUGCCUAGUAGUGGGGGAUAACUACUCGAAAGAGUAGCUAAUACCGCAUGAGAUCUACGGAUGAAAGCAGGGGACCUUCGGGCCUUGUGCUACUAGAGCGGCUGAUGGCAGAUUAGGUAGUUGGUGGGGUAAAGGCUUACCAAGCCUGCGAUCUGUAGCUGGUCUGAGAGGACGACCAGCCACACUGGGACUGAGACACGGCCCAGACUCCUACGGGAGGCAGCAGUGGGGAAUUUUGGACAAUGGGCGAAAGCCUGAUCCAGCAAUGCCGCGUGCAGGAUGAAGGCCCUCGGGUUGUAAACUGCUUUUGUACGGAACGAAAAGCCUGGGGCUAAUAUCCCCGGGUCAUGACGGUACCGUAAGAAUAAGCACCGGCUAACUACGUGCCAGCAGCCGCGGUAAUACGUAGGGUGCAAGCGUUAAUCGGAAUUACUGGGCGUAAAGCGUGCGCAGGCGGUUUUGUAAGACAGUGGUGAAAUCCCCGGGCUCAACCUGGGAACUGCCAUUGUGACUGCAAGGCUAGAGUGCGGCAGAGGGGGAUGGAAUUCCGCGUGUAGCAGUGAAAUGCGUAGAUAUGCGGAGGAACACCGAUGGCGAAGGCAAUCCCCUGGGCCUGCACUGACGCU
rnacentral:rRNA from 1 species